CAGGCUUAACACAUGCAAGUCGAGGGGCAGCAUGGUCUUAGCUUGCUAAGGCCGAUGGCGACCGGCGCACGGGUGAGUAACACGUAUCCAACCUGCCGUCUACUCUUGGACAGCCUUCUGAAAGGAAGAUUAAUACAAGAUGGCAUCAUGAGUCCGCAUGUUCACAUGAUUAAAGGUAUUCCGGUAGACGAUGGGGAUGCGUUCCAUUAGAUAGUAGGCGGGGUAACGGCCCACCUAGUCUUCGAUGGAUAGGGGUUCUGAGAGGAAGGUCCCCCACAUUGGAACUGAGACACGGUCCAAACUCCUACGGGAGGCAGCAGUGAGGAAUAUUGGUCAAUGGGCGAGAGCCUGAACCAGCCAAGUAGCGUGAAGGAUGACUGCCCUAUGGGUUGUAAACUUCUUUUAUAAAGGAAUAAAGUCGGGUAUGGAUACCCGUUUGCAUGUACUUUAUGAAUAAGGAUCGGCUAACUCCGUGCCAGCAGCCGCGGUAAUACGGAGGAUCCGAGCGUUAUCCGGAUUUAUUGGGUUUAAAGGGAGCGUAGAUGGAUGUUUAAGUCAGUUGUGAAAGUUUGCGGCUCAACCGUAAAAUUGCAGUUGAUACUGGAUAUCUUGAGUGCAGUUGAGGCAGGCGGAAUUCGUGGUGUAGCGGUGAAAUGCUUAGAUAUCACGAAGAAUUCCGAUUGCGAAGGCAGCCUGCUAAGCUGCAACUGACAUUGAGGCUCGAAAGUGUGGGUAUCAAACAGGAUUAGAUACCCUGGUAGUCCACACGGUAAACGAUGAAUACUCGCUGUUUGCGAUAUACUGCAAGCGGCCAAGCGAAAGCGUUAAGUAUUCCACCUGGGGAGUACGCCGGCAACGGUGAAACUCAAAGGAAUUGACGGGGGCCCGCACAAGCGGAGGAACAUGUGGUUUAAUUCGAUGAUACGCGAGGAACCUUACCCGGGCUUAAAUUGCAGAUGAAUUACGGUGAAAGCCGUAAGCCGCAAGGCAUCUGUGAAGGUGCUGCAUGGUUGUCGUCAGCUCGUGCCGUGAGGUGUCGGCUUAAGUGCCAUAACGAGCGCAACCCUUGUUGUCAGUUACUAACAGGUUCCGCUGAGGACUCUGACAAGACUGCCAUCGUAAGAUGUGAGGAAGGUGGGGAUGACGUCAAAUCAGCACGGCCCUUACGUCCGGGGCUACACACGUGUUACAAUGGGGGGUACAGAGGGCCGCUACCACGCGAGUGGAUGCCAAUCCCCAAAACCUCUCUCAGUUCGGACUGGAGUCUGCAACCCGACUCCACGAAGCUGGAUUCGCUAGUAAUCGCGCAUCAGCCACGGCGCGGUGAAUACGUUCCCGGGCCUUGUACACACCGCCCGUCAAGCCAUGGGAGCCGGGGGUACCUGAAGUGCGUAACCGCGAGGAGCGCCCUAGGGUAAAACUGGUGACUGGGGCUAAA
rnacentral:rRNA from 1 species